rnacentral:rRNA from 1 species
AUUGAACGCUGGCGGGAUGCUUUACACAUGCAAGUCGAACGAGUGGCGGACGGGUGAGUAAUAUAUCGGAACGUGCCCAGUAGCGGGGGAUAACUACUCGAAAGAGUGGCUAAUACCGCAUACGGUUGGAGCGGCCGAUAUCGGAUUAGCUAGUUGGGGGGGUAAAGGCUCACCAAGGCAACGAUCCGUAGCUGGUCUGAGAGGACGACCAGCCACACUGGGACUGAGACACGGCCCAGACUCCUACGGGAGGUAGCAGUGGGGAAUCUUGGGCAAUGGGGGAAACCCUGAUCGAGCCACGCCGCGUGUAUGAGAAGGCCUUCGGGUUGUAAAGUACUGUUGGCAGAGAAGCGGUAUCUGCAGAAUAAGCCACGGCUAACUACGUGCCAGCAGCCGCGGUAAUUC